ACAGUGAUGUGGAGCAAAACACAAAAAGCAGUCUCAGUUCAGAUUGUAGGCUGAAACUCGCCUAUAUGAAGUCGGAAUUGCUAGUAAUCGCGGAUCAGCAUGCCGCGGUGAAUACGUUCCCGGGCCUUGUACACACCGCCCGUCACACCAUGAGAGUUGGGAAUACCCGAAGCCUGUGAGCUAACGUUAAGAGGCAGCAGUCGAAGGUAGAAUCAAUGAUUGGGGUGAAGUCGUAACAAGGUAAC
rnacentral:rRNA from 1 species